GCUUUCUGGCUCUUCAAUACAAUUGUAUUUAGCUCCCAACUAUCAGUGUGCUUUCCCUGCCAUGCACCUCUGUGGGACUCUCAGGAUGAGGAAGACAAGACCUCACCAUGCAGAUAAAUAAAUGAAGGUCCUGAGAAGUUGACUAUUCCAACUUCUUAACUGUGGUCAACUGUCAUUAAGAAGGUGAUAUUAGAAAGUCCAAAGUGUAGAGACUUUUGGCUGAAUGAAGACUGCCACAUUUUUGAAUGGAUAAGGCCAGUUCUAUUGAAAAGCUCAUGCAUACAGGGAGUCCUAAGGACUGAACAUAGGUGAUCAUCGAAAGUGGUCAGAAACAAGAAGACACUGGGUUAACACACGCUAUCAAAGCAGCAGCAUUCUAGAAUGAGAAACAGGGAAGAGACUAUGCCAACAUCAUCUAAAGCAGCAUAGAAAGAAGGAAGAAUAUAGAAGUAAGGAAUGAGGACUACUGAAUAAUAUAUAAGUUGUCUUGCUUAAAAGCAUAGUUUCAAGAAGACUGUGCAAAGCAUUAUAUUAAUAAAAU